UACAGAGGGUGCGAGCGUUGUUCGGAAUUACUGGGCGUAAAGCGCGCGCAGGCGGCUCUUUAAGUCUGACGGUGAAAUGCCGGGGCUCAACCCCGUGCCUGCCGGAGAUACUGGGGAGCUGGAGACGAGUAGAGGCAAGCGGAAUUCCGGGUGUAGCGGUGAAAUGCGUAGAGAUCCGGAAGAACACCGGAGGCGAAGGCGGCUUGCUGGGCUCGGUCUGACGCUGAGGCGCGAAAGCGUGGGGAGCGAACAGG
rnacentral:rRNA from 1 species